AAUCUCUCCCCUCGGUGACCUUCUCUGACUGACCCUCGUAUGCCCCCUUAUAAGACCCUUGGGUUAUCACCUGGGUCAUCCAGGGUCGCCUCCCCAUCCCAGGAUCCUUAACUUCAUCUCAGCUGCAGCGUCCCUGUUGUCCUGUAAGGGAACAUUCACGGGCCUUGGCGAUUGGAUGUAGGUGCCUUUGGGGCUGUGAUUCAGCCAAACCCACCCCUUGGUGACUUCUGGGUCAGAAUCCAGGGGAGAGUUGGGUCCUGAGGUUUGGGGCCUGUCCUCCUCACUUGCUGUGGUUCACACCUGGACUCUGGGGCUCAGGCCUGCCUUCCCCCUUUCUCCCUCCUGGGCGCAGGGCUGCGCUGGCAGGGCUGUCGCUCAGCCUGAUGGAACGCCUGGCUGAGGAGUACGGCGCGAGGGUGGUGCGGACACUGACGGUGCAGUACCGCAUGCACCAGGCUAUCAUGCGCUGGGCCUCGGACACCAUGUACCUUGGGCAGCUCACAGCCCACUCUUCCGUGGCAGGGCACCUCCUGAGGGACCUCCCAGGUGUGGCUGCCACAGAAGAGACGGGUGUGCCCCUGCUCCUGGUGGACACCGCCGGCUGCGGGCUGUUUGAGCUGGAGGAGGAGGACGAACAGUCGAAAGGGAACCCUGGUGAGCUUGCUUGCAGAUGGCCAGCUUUUUUGUUUAAACAUACCUCCAGCUCUUUAAAAAUAAAAGGCACUUAAAUUGCCUAAUUCCGGGAGGAGCUGAGAGCAGUUGUUGAUGGCCGUGAAAAAACGGAGCCCCACACUGCAAGAGGCUGAGCAGCAU
rnacentral:sRNA from 1 species